rnacentral:rRNA from 1 species
AGCGAACGUUUGCGGCGGGCUUAACACAUGCAAGUCGAACGGGCUGUUCCUUCGGGGGCAGUCAGUGGCGCACGGGUGCGUAACACGUAGGUAAUCAACCCCUGGUUGGGGAGUAACACUUCGAAAGGAGUGCUAAUACCCGGUAUGGCGCAGCGGUCUUCGGAUCGCGGCGAGAAAGACCCGCAAGGGUUGCCAGAGGACGAGCCUGCGGCCCAUCAGCUAGUUGGCGAGGUAACGGCUCACCAAGGCGAAGACGGGUAGCUGGUCUGAGAGGAUGAUCAGCCACACUGGAACUGAGACACGGUCCAGACUCCUACGGGAGGCAGUAGUGGGGAAUAUUGCGCAAUGGGCGAAAGCCUGACGCAGCCACGCCGCGUGAGCGAU